rnacentral:rRNA from 1 species
UACGUAGGUUGCGAGCGUUAAUCGGAAUUACUGGGCGUAAAGCGUGCGCAGGCGGUUCGCUGUGUCCUGUGUGGAAGCCCCGGGCUUAACCUGGGAAUGGCAUGGGAAACUGGCGGGCUGGAGUGUGGCAGAGGGGGGUGGAAUUCCGCGUGUAGCAGUGAAAUGCGUAGAGAUGCGGAGGAACACCGAUGGCGAAGGCAGCCCCCUGGGCUAACACUGACGCUCAGGCACGAAAGCGUGGGGAGCAAACAGG